CUGCGAAUGGCUCAUUAAAUCAGUUAUCGUUUAUUUGAUAGUACCUUACUACUUGGAUAACCGUGGUAAUUCUAGAGCUAAUACAUGCUGAAAACCCCAACUUCGGGAGGGGUGUAUUUAUUAGAUAAAAAACCAACGCCCUUCGGGGCUUCUUGGUGAUUCAUGAUAACUUUACGGAUCGCAUGGCCUUGCGCCGGCGACGGUUCAUUCAAAUUUCUGCCCUAUCAACUUUCGAUGGUAAGGUAUUGGCUUACCAUGGUUUCAACGGGUAACGGGGAAUUAGGGUUCGAUUCCGGAGAGGGAGCCUGAGAAACGGCUACCACAUCCAAGGAAGGCAGCAGGCGCGCAAAUUACCCAAUCCCGACACGGGGAGGUAGUGACAAUAAAUACUGAUACAGGGCUCUUUUGGGUCUUGUAAUUGGAAUGAGUACAAUUUAAACCUCUUAACGAGGAACAAUUGGAGGGCAAGUCUGGUGCCAGCAGCCGCGGUAAUUCCAGCUCCAAUAGCGUAUAUUAAAGUUGUUGCAGUUAAAAAGCUCGUAGUUGAACCUUGGGUCUGGCUGGCAGGUCCGCCUCACCGCGUGUACUUGUCCGGCCGGGCCUUCCUUCUGGAGAACCUCAUGCCCUUCACUGGGCGUGUUGGGGACCAGGACUUUUACUUUGAAAAAAUUAGAGUGUUCAAAGCAGGCCUUUGCUCGAAUACGUUAGCAUGGAAUAAUAGAAUAGGACGUGCGGUCCUAUUUUGUUGGUUUCUAGGACCGCCGUAAUGAUUAAUAGGGACAGUCGGGGGCAUCAGUAUUCAAUUGUCAGAGGUGAAAUUCUUGGAUUUAUUGAAGACUAACUACUGCGAAAGCAUUUGCCAAGGAUGUUUUCAUUAAUCAGUGAACGAAAGUUAGGGGAUCGAAGACGAUCAGAUACCGUCGUAGUCUUAACCGUAAACUAUGCCGACUAGGGAUCGGGCGAUGUUCUUUUUCUGACUCGCUCGGCACC
rnacentral:rRNA from 1 species